AGAAACUGACAAGAACUGGAUGAAACAACAAAAUAAAAACAAAUUUAUUUUCCAGACAAAACGGUCCCACACUGAGGAAACCUUUCCUUUGAAGCUGCUCCAUAGUUGAUGCUGUAAAAGAUUAAGAAUGCUUUUGACAAAUUCGCUUCCUUAUAAACACAGUUUGGCGUGUUAAUGUCAUUUGGAAACAGUUCCUGUAUCGGUCACGUGACUUGCUGAAACCAACACGCUCACCGACACGGUUUGGUCUGCGGGCUGGACACAUGCACAUCGGUGUUGCCGGACCCAUCACUACUUGUGAGUAAGAAAGGAAACAUGGUUUAUAAAACAAAGGUAACUUCCCUGCAACAGGACGAAACCUCCAGCAGAACCAGAACCCGGCUCAGUACCAGCAGCCAUCUGGGACGGCCGACUGGAGGUUUGAGAAGAUGGAGCAGAGACACAAACAGAAAACUGAUCUCCAGCUGUCACCAGGAAACCUACAGGAACGAAAUCAAAACAUGAAGGAAACAACAGGAGGCGCCAGAGACGCUUUGGAAACCUGACGUGACACCAGAACUACCAAACAGAACUGCAGCAGGAUCAGGCAAGGACCGCCUGAAACAGAGACGCUUCAGUGUUGGGGAGGAUGAUUACUGGCACCAGAAACAGCGACUCAGCAGUAACGGGCCGAACCCCGAACCGUUUGAGCCACCCCGCCUUCAUCACACCCAGAGCUGAAAACGGAGCCAUAAAUCAGACGAGUUGGACUGCUGGCCGUCUGAUUAGGAUGCAAUGAGGCCAGGAUGACGAUACGUUGAACCAAAGGUGUCCAACUCUCUCCAGUUCUCCAGAGGCCAGGAGGAGUAAAAUCAACCCGAUCUGCUGGAUGUGGCCGAGCGGCUCUGUCCGUCAUGAGAACCGGGUCGGGUCAAACCGCGUUCUGCUCAUGGUGUUGACUUUUCUGUUGUGCAGAAAAGGUUAACAGAUUCCAGGAGAUAACCUCGUUUCCAGCUGCUACAUUCAUUAGCACAGUCAAGCAACUUUUACUUUCAUUUGUAAAACUUGACCUGUGUUUAUGCAUACACCAUAACCUAAAGUAUAACUACUCAAAAUGAUUCCU